AACUGUUGCCUCGGCGGGAUCUCUGCCCCGGGUGCGUCGCAGCCCCGGACCAAGGCGCCCGCCGGAGGACCAACCAAAACUCUUUUUGUAUACCCCCUCGCGGGUUUUUUUAUAAUCUGAGCCUUCUCGGCGCCUCUCGUAGGCGUUUCGAAAAUGAAUCAAAACUUUCAACAACGGAUCUCUUGGUUCUGGCAUCGAUGAAGAACGCAGCGAAAUGCGAUAAGUAAUGUGAAUUGCAGAAUUCAGUGAAUCAUCGAAUCUUUGAACGCACAUUGCGCCCGCCAGUAUUCUGGCGGGCAUGCCUGUCCGAGCGUCAUUUCAACCCUCGAACCCCUCCGGGGGGUCGGCGUUGGGGAUCGGCCCUGCCUUUUGGCGGUGGCCGUCUCCGAAAUACAGUGGCGGUCUCGCCGCAGCCUCUCCUGCGCAGUAGUUUGCACACUCGCAUCGGGAGCGCGGCGCGUCCACAGCCGUUAAACACCCAACUUCUGAAAUGUUGACCUCGGAUCAGGUAGGAAUACCCGCUGAACUUAAGCAUAUCAAUAAGCGGAGGA
rnacentral:rRNA from 1 species